rnacentral:rRNA from 1 species
GAUGAACGCUGGCGGCGUGCCUAAUACAUGCAAGUCGAGCGCAGAAAGGAGGUACUUGCACCUAUUGCGUGAGCGGCGGACGGGUGAGUAACACGUGGCUAACCUGCCUUUGAGCCUGGGAUAACUUCAGGAAACCUAAGCUAAUACCGGAUAAAAUCUUUAAACACAUGGUUCAAGUUUGAAAGAUGUAUUUGCUUCACCUAAAGAUGAUCCCCUCGUGGAUUAGCUAGUUGGUUAGGUAAACGCCUACCAAGGCAACGAUGCGUAGCCGACCUGAGAGGGUGAUCGGCCACACUGGAACUGAGACACGGUCCAGACUCCUACGGGAGGCAGCAGUGGGGAAUCUUGCGCAAUGGGCGAAAGCCUGACGGAGCAACGCCGCGUGAGUGAAGAAGGUCUUCGGAUCGUAAAACUCUGUUAUUAGGGAAGAAGGAAAGUGAAAGUAACUAUGCACGUCUUGACGGUACCUAAUCAGAAAGCCACGGCUAACUACGUG